GAUGAACGCUGGCGGCGUGCCUAAUACAUGCAAGUCGAGCGAAUGGAUUAAGAGCUUGCUCUUAUGAAGUUAGCGGCGGACGGGUGAGUAACACGUGGGUAACCUGCCCAUAAGACUGGGAUAACUCCGGGAAACCGGGGCUAAUACCGGAUAACAUUUUGAACCGCAUGGUUCGAAAUUGAAAGGCGGCUUCGGCUGUCACUUAUGGAUGGACCCGCGUCGCAUUAGCUAGUUGGUGAGGUAACGGCUCACCAAGGCAACGAUGCGUAGCCGCCCUGAUAGGGUGAUCGGCCACACUGGGACUGAGACACGGCCCAGACUCCUACGGGAGGCAGCAGUAGGGAAUCUUCCGCACUGGACGAAAGUCUGACGGAGCAACGCCGCGUGAGUGAUGAAGGCUUUCGGGUCGUAAAACUCUGUUGUUAGGGAAGAACAAGUGCUAGUUGAAUAAGCUGGCACCUUGACGGUACCUAACCAGAAAGCCACGGCUAACUACGCGCCAGCCGCCGCCGUAA
rnacentral:rRNA from 1 species